rnacentral:rRNA from 1 species
AAACAUGUCUUUUUGAGUUAAAUUUAAAGUCUGACCUGCCCACUGAAUAGUUUUAAAUGGCCGCAGUAUCUUGACUGUGCAAAGGUAGCAUAAUCAUUAGUCUUUUAAUUGAAGGCUGGUAUGAACGGUUGGACGAAGUAUAAGCUGUUUCAUAUAAAUUUAUAAUAGAAUUUUAUAUUUUAGUUAAAAAGCUAAAAUUUUAUUAAAAGACGAGAAGACCCUAUAAAUCUUUAUAUUUAAUAUAAACUAAAUUUUUUUGAUUUAUUUUAUUUUUUUUAAUAUUAAUUAUUUUGUUGGGGUGAUAUUAAAAUUUAAUGAACUUUUAAUUUUUUAAAAUCAUUAAUUUAUGAAUUAUUGAUCCAUUAAUAUUGAUUAUAAGAUUAAGUUACUUUAGGGAUAACAGCGUAAUUUUUUUUGAGAGUUCAUAUCGACAAAAAAGUUUGCGACCUCGAUGUUGGAUUAAGGUAUAAUUUUGGGUGUAGCCGCUCAAAAAUUAAGUCUGUUCGACUUUUAAAUCCUUACAUGAUC